AGAGUUUGAUCAUGGCUCAGAUUGAACGCUGGCGGCAGGCCUAACACAUGCAAGUCGAACGGUAACAGGAAGAAGCUUGCUUCUUUGCUGACGAGUGGCGGACGGGUGAGUAAUGUCUGGGAAACUGCCUGAUGGAGGGGGAUAACUACUGGAAACGGUAGCUAAUACCGCAUAACGUCGCAAGACCAAAGAGGGGGACCUUCGGGCCUCUUGCCAUCGGAUGUGCCCAGAUGGGAUUAGCUAGUAGGUGGGGUAACGGCUCACCUAGGCGACGAUCCCUAGCUGGUCUGAGAGGAUGACCAGCCACACUGGAACUGAGACACGGUCCAGACUCCUACGGGAGGCAGCAGUGGGGAAUAUUGCACAAUGGGCGCAAGCCUGAUGCAGCCAUGCCGCGUGUAUGAAGAAGGCCUUCGGGUUGUAAAGUACUUUCAGCGGGGAGGAAGGGAGUAAAGUUAAUACCUUUGCUCAUUGACGUUACCCGCAGAAGAAGCACCGGCUAACUCCGUGCCAGCAGCCGCGGUAAUACGGAGGGUGCAAGCGUUAAUCGGAAUUACUGGGCGUAAAGCGCACGCAGGCGGUUUGUUAAGUCAGAUGUGAAAUCCCCGGGCUCAACCUGGGAACUGCAUCUGAUACUGGCAAGCUUGAGUCUCGUAGAGGGGGUAGAAUUCCAGGUGUAGCGGUGAAAUGCGUAGAGAUCUGGAGGAAUACCGGUGGCGAAGGCGGCCCCCUGGACGAAGACUGACGCUCAGGUGCGAAAGCGUGGGGAGCAAACAGGAUUAGACACCCUGGUAGUCCACGCCGUAAACGAUGUCGACUUGGAGGUUGUGCCCUUGAGGCGUGGCUUCCGGAGCUAACGCGUUAAGUCGACCGCCUGGGGAGUACGGCCGCAAGGUUAAAACUCAAAUGAAUUGACGGGGGCCCGCACAAGCGGUGGAGCAUGUGGUUUAAUUCGAUGCAACGCGAAGAACCUUACCUGGUCUUGACAUCCACAGAACUUUCCAGAGAUGGAUUGGUGCCUUCGGGAACUGUGAGACAGGUGCUGCAUGGCUGUCGUCAGCUCGUGUUGUGAAAUGUUGGGUUAAGUCCCGCAACGAGCGCAACCCUUAUCCUUUGUUGCCAGCGGUCCGGCCGGGAACUCAAAGGAGACUGCCAGUGAUAAACUGGAGGAAGGUGGGGAUGACGUCAAGUCAUCAUGGCCCUUACGACCAGGGCUACACACGUGCUACAAUGGCGCAUACAAAGAGAAGCGACCUCGCGAGAGCAAGCGGACCUCAUAAAGUGCGUCGUAGUCCGGAUUGGAGUCUGCAACUCGACUCCAUGAAGUCGGAAUCGCUAGUAAUCGUGGAUCAGAAUGCCACGGUGAAUACGUUCCCGGGCCUUGUACACACCGCCCGUCACACCAUGGGAGUGGGUUGCAAAAGAAGUAGGUAGCUUAACCUUCGGGAGGGCGCUUACCACUUUGUGAUUCAUGACUGGGGUGAAGUCGUAACAAGGUAACCGUAGGGGAACCUGCGGUUGGAUCACCU
rnacentral:rRNA from 1 species